rnacentral:lncRNA from 10 species
AGGUGCUUGCUGCAGAGGCAUCGGGGGUCUCUGGCCAGAGGUGACAUCUGAAGCAAUCGGGAUCCUGUUUGGUUUUGCCACAUCCGACCUGCCGCCCAGCUGGGGCAAGACAGCCACGCGCGGCGGAUGCACCGGCCCUGAACUCUUUCUCGAGUAGUCCCCAGAGAUUUCAGGAAGAGAGAGAAGAGGUAAAGAGACCAGAAACAAAGUCUUCUGCAAGCAAAGAACUGCAACAGGCCCCAGCUGUUAGGUUUGAGGGGCGUAUGGGGCAGGCGACUGAACUGCAGAGUUGGAGCCAGAGGUACCAUUGCUGACCCCUGAGCCCAGGAGCCUUGAGAAUACUGACAGUGUUAAUAAUAACUGCAAUCAUCCAACAUAUGAUGCUAGAAUAACUGGACAUCUGUGUGCAAAAAUAUUAAACCUAUACCUUGCACCU